UACGUAGGGUGCGAGCGUUUAAUCGGAAUUCUGGGCGUAAAGCGUGCGCAGGCGGUUUCACAAGCUCGAUGUGAAAGCCCCGGGCUUAACCUGGGGAAUGGCAUUGAGGACUGUGGAGCUCGAGUGCGGCAGAGGGAGGUGGGAAUUCCACGUGUAGCAGUGAAAUGCGUAGAGAAUGUGGAGGAACACCGAUGGCGAAGGCAGCCUCCUGGGCCGACACUGACGCUCAUGCACGAAAGCGUGGGGAGCAAACAGG
rnacentral:rRNA from 1 species